CUCUAUUACUUAGCUGUUCAAGCAGCCGGACAUUGUAGCGCCAUCCCCUCAUACCACAUAGUAAACGUCACUUGUAAACGUUCAGGUUUUGUCAAGCAAACUGGACAGUUCUUUCUUAAGAAGAUAUCAACUUCAGAAACUGCCAGCAGAGGUCAAUACGAUCUGCAUUAACGAUGCAUGGUAACAUCGCGAUAGCUUUGUUAUAUAUAACCUCUUCUUCCAAUUACUUAAUUAUCUUUUUCAAGUUAUUGAAUUUACGUUAUAACGUCAAAUAAAAUAUCAUUUCAUUAAAACAUUUCGACGAAAGAAUUAAAAGGAUGUUUAGAGAUUCUCAAUAUUCAUUGGGAAUUCAGGUCUCGGAUUUCUUUAAAUAAGAGUUGAAAAACGAGAUUAUAUGUAUGUAUGAGAGAAAGAGAAAGGAGAAUUUGAUCGUUUCUUUCUUACUACGUUUCAGAAACGAAAGUUGCUCUUCUCAUUGUUAAAUGAAUGGAACGGUGUACAAAAGAAGCUACGAUUUCAAGGGGGUGAUUCCCAACAUGGAUCAGGUAGAUAGGCGGAAUAACGAGCAAGGAAGAAUCACGAAGCUACUUGACGCUAAUUGCGCAGGACGCUUAUCGUUACAUUUACUCACGAAUCGGAGACUGUUGAGUAUAUGUAUAUGUAUUACAAACACGAAUAACUCGAGUGGCUUGACUAAUGAUCGUGGAAAAAAGACAGAAUAACGACCUCCGAUCGCUUCUUACAUUCACAUGCCGUUAAUGCGUAUAUACCGACUAAGUAUCAAGAAUUGUCAUCUUUCAUAGAAAUUUUCUAUCUCUAUCCAUAUCCGCGAACGAUUCAACACCAGUUGACUCGAACUUUGAUAUAGAAACCUAUACGUUACUUUCUUUUUCUUUAUUCCUCUUUUCCUUUAGAAUUCGUUACACCGAUGCAAUACCAGAAGCUCGUUAACACGGAUAAAAAGUAAUACGGGGGAAACCGAAUAUCCGUUAUGCGCGUGCAAAGUGUACGUAACGUAACGUAGAGUCACUCAAACUUUCGAGACAAGAGAUAUGUGCGUCAUCAUCGAGGAACGAAUUUCAUCGAUGUCAUUAAAAAACAACAAACAUUUGAUCUGAACUGAAAGCAUAUUCGUAGCAAGCUAUAGAGGAGCAGAUGUUUUGUAGAAAAUAUUACGAACGAUUUUUAGUUAGAGAAAGUCGACUCUGCCUUGUGUGUCGGUGCAAAUAAAAUCGGACCCUAAAUAGCACGUCUGGCGAGGGGUUAAAACACCCGUUGGAAAUAAAAAAGGCACUGCGCGCACGAUCCUUCUGCAUAACGGCAUGUGUACCCCUUCUAUGUGUACAUGUGUAACUUUAUGACAGACAUGUGUAUACAAAUUUCAAAUGAUACGCUCGCCUCAAUUGAUCAUAGCCCGUCUGACCGUAAAAUUCGCAUAGCAGACGAAAAAUCGUAAAACGUACGAAAAAAAAAAAAAAAA